rnacentral:rRNA from 1 species
UACAGAGGUCUCAAGCGUUGUUCGGAUUCAUUGGGCGUAAAGGGUGCGUAGGCGGCGCGGUAAGUCGGGUGUGAAAUCUCGGGGCUUAACUCCGAAACUGCAUUUGAUACUGCGGUGCUUGAGGACUGGAGAGGAGACUGGAAUUUAUGGUGUAGCAGUGAAAUGCGUAGAUAUCAUAAGGAAGACCAGUGGCGAAGGCGGGUCUCUGGACAGUUCCUGACACUGAGACACGAAGGCCAGGGGAGCAAACGGG